rfam:Salmo salar isolate Sally breed double haploid chromosome ssa01, whole genome shotgun sequence.
UGCAUUCACUACCGUAAGUCGCUCUGGAUAAGAGCGUCUGCUAAAUCACUAAAA